AGGGGGACAACAGUUGGAAACGACUGCUAAUACCGCAUACGAUCUAACCUCGGCAUCGAGGAAAGAUGAAAGGUGGCCUCUAUGUAUAAGCUAUCACUGAAGGAGGGGAUUGCGUCUGAUUAGCUAGUUGGAGGGGUAACGGCCCACCAAGGCGAUGAUCAGUAGCCGGUCUGAGAGGAUGAACAGCCACAUUGGGACUGAGACACGGCCCAG
rnacentral:rRNA from 1 species